GACGAACGCUGGCGGCGUGCUUAACACAUGCAAGUCGAACGGAAAGGCCCUGCUUUUGUGGGGUGCUCGAGUGGCGAACGGGUGAGUAACACGUGAGUAACCUGCCCUUGACUUUGGGAUAACUUCAGGAAACUGGGGCUAAUACCGGAUAGGAGCUCCUGCUGCAUGGUGGGGGUUGGAAAGUUUCGGCGGUUGGGGAUGGACUCGCGGCUUAUCAGCUUGUUGGGGGGGUAGGGGCUUACCAAGGCUGUGACGGGUAGCCGGCCUGGGAGGGUGACCGGCCACAUUGGGACUGAGAUACGGACCAGACUCCUACGGGAGGCAGCAGUGGGGAAUAUUGCACAAUGGGGGGAAGCGUGAGACAGCAACGCCGCGUGCGUGAAGACGUCUUUCGGGUUGUGAACCGCUUUCGCAGGUGACGAAGCGUGAGUGACGGUAAUGGGUAAAGAAGCACCGGCUAACUACGUG
rnacentral:rRNA from 1 species